GUAGUGUACACUGAAGGAAUUUUAAUCAUUUGCUAUGUAAAACAAUGGAUUAUUGGUUUAAAAUAAGGUUCCAAGUCACCAACCAUCGCCCUGGUUACAAUCGAGUCCUUUUUAUAGUGAUUUUAUACUGGUUAAUAGUUGGUCACACAGAACCGCCCUGUUCUGCCCAAGGAACAAGUGCAGGAUUAGGUAGCAAGAUCAGACCAUAGGUACCAUAGGUUCUUCCCACUCUGCCAGCCAGAACAGAGGAAUAUUGCUCACAUUUAACUACUGUAAGGCUUUCCUGUGGAUGUACAUCGUGUACUUGUGGAGUGCACUUGAGAGUCACAGUGUGAGUACUGUAAACACCGACAGAAGUGCAGAUAAAACAGCUACAAAUAGAUCGUAUGAGGAAAAGACCUGAGGAAAGCUGGUGAAAACAGACCUGCGAACCCUUACACUGCCACUUGGGGGAGUGGAGGCCUAUUGGCUUGCUUUAAAAUCAAUAAAAAUACUCAGAUAAAAAAAUAGAUGUCUUCACAUGAAGGAUGAGCCUUUGAGUUCUAAAAAGCAACACGCGCUUCCCUUUCCCAUGGCAGGUUAAAACUUACCUUCCACUAAGGAUACAUUAAAAUUCCACCUGAUUUGUUUUCCUGCUUGACUUUAGCACCCACGCCCAGGCACACGCUCGUGCACACACCGAGGGACUGCAGAGAAGCACCUGUAUCUAGCACUUAUUUUCUUGCUAUGGGAAGGAGCUGGUUUGGAAUCACUGCAGAAACUGCUGCUUUACUUGGCAAAUGGUCCCAGUUUAGGAUCUAGUUUUACUGGCUACUUGUUUUGUCCUUUUUCCAGAAAGCACUAGUUUAAUCUUGAGCUUGGAUUAGCUGUUCAAGUAUAAAAUUAUCCCUCUGAAGCAGGAGCACAUGCUAAAAUCUCAGUAACUAGAGGAGAGAGAAUCACAUAUAAACAAAGCUAACAGAAAACAUCUGUCAGCACAAAGAACUACCCUAUGUGUGUGUAUGCAUAUAGAGACUCUUCCAUGUCACAGCUGGAAGAAACAGGCAAUGGCUUUGAAUUACUCAGAAAUGACUAAGCAGGUGAAUAUUUCUUUGGUAAGUAAUGAAGUUUCCCUCCUAAACUCCCUGGAAAUCAGGUUUUCAAGCUUUGCUGCGAUUCUAUAUCCUGAUGCUAAGCAAAGUUUCCAUCUGCUCUUCAAUAAAUAAGUUUAGAUAAAAACCUUUCCUUCAGAGCCAGGACUGCAGCGCUGGGGAGCCACGUGCAGAGUCCCACGGCUUGAAAGUCCCUCAGACAAAUAUAAAUCAGCUUUUGGUAGCUGCUGGUGCCAACCUCGAGGGCAGGUGAAACAUGUACUUAAGCAAUCCAGGAGUGGUCUUCAGCCUGACAGCCCCGAAAGCCUUCAGCUUUGUGCAGAUUUGGUCACCCUCAUUGCAGGAGGUCACUGAGGGGUUAUUUCUCCAGCAGAGAAAGCUGUAGGACUUGCUGCAGCUCUGCAUCCUCCUCCUCACGACGCUGCUUCUCCCGCUCCUCCUGCUCUCGGACAGACAACUCCAUGGCGAGCUGCAAGUCCUUCUCAAAGCUGGAGGGCUCACUAGGGCUGCUGCACUGGGAGUUACCUGAGCUGGUUAGAAAGCUCUCCUGCAGCGCCCUGGUGGAGACAAAGAACUUCAAGAAGAGAGACAGAGCCUAUUUCACAGUUCCUGCCAUGAUCCUUCCUAGCCACUGUUCUCUAACUGCAGAGCUGACAAUCACUCGCAGGAGAGCAGGAUAAGAGAGCGGUUGUUCCAACAUCCAUAAAAUUCCCAGCAUAAAACCUGUUCUCUGAAGGUUCCUUUGAAUCUUUCACACAUGCCAACAAAUUUUCAACUUCUAAAAGCAUUCUCACCUGGUUCAAAGGCAACAUGAUCUCCCACCUCCAAAAGAAUCAAGAGGAUGCGGUUGUUGGCAUGCACAUGCAGGAAGACCCCCCAGAUACCAGAGCAUAUUCUCAAGGGUCCAUUAAAUACAUGUUGUUAAGGUUUUAAGGAUUACACACUGAUUUAAAGAAGAGCUUCCCUGAAGUGUGCAGCACCUACUAAACAUUCACCCCAGCGGGACCACAUGCACAGCUUAAAGAGCAGAACAGAAGGACAGUGUUUAUUUGUUGGGUCAGGACUCUUACACAUGCAGCCCAGCCCCACAGCUGACCUACAGAGCUGUACUAGAUAAGCCAGGGAGGCCUAGUUCAAAGUCUUUGCUUCUUGGAAAAGUACAAGUUAGAAGAAGCACAAGAAAAGAGACUUUGAGU
ensembl:lncRNA